rnacentral:rRNA from 1 species
UCGGGGCUUAAUGUCUUGUAAUUGGAAUGAUGGGAAUUUAAACCUCUUCCAGAGUAUCAAUUGGAGGGCAAGUCCGGUGCCAGCAGCCGCGGUAAUUCCAGCUCCAAUAGCGUAUAUUAAAAUUGUUGCAGUUAAAAAGCUCGUAGUUGAAUUUCUGCUGCAUUACAUAUCUCUUGUUUGAGUUUGUUAUUGUGGCUUAUUUCGGAUUGAUUUUUAUCUUUCCGGAUGAUUACUUUGAGAAAAUUAGAGUGCUCAAAGCAGGCUUUUGCCUUGAAUAGUUUAGCAUGGAAUAAUAGAGUAGGACUUUGGUUCUAUUUUGUUGGUUUUAGGUACCAAAGUAAUGGUCAAUAGAACAGUUUGGGGGGAUUUUUG